CGGGGUCGGAACUUCGGUUUCGGCUUACGUGGCGCACGGGUGAGUAACACGUGGGAAUCUGCCCAUCUAUGGGGAAUAACUGCGGGAAACUGCAGCUAAUACCGCAUACGCCCUUCGGGGGAAAGGCUUCGGCCGUAGAUGGAUGAGCCCGCGUCCGAUUAGCUAGUUGGUGGGGUAAUGGCCUACCAAGGCGACGAUCGGUAGCUGGUCUGAGAGGAUGAUCAGCCACACUGGGACUGAGACACGGCCCAGACUCCUACGGGAGGCAGCAGUGGGGAAUAUUGGACAAUGGGCGAAAGCCUGAUCCAGCAAUGCCGCGUGAGUGAUGAAGGUCUUCGGAUUGUAAAGCUCUUUCGACGGGGAAGAUAAUGACGGUACCCGUAGAAGAAGCCCCGGCUAACUUCGUGCCAGCAGCCGCGGUAAUACGAAGGGGGCUAGCGUUGUUCGGAUUUACUGGGCGUAAAGCGUGCGUAGGCGGCUUAUCAAGUCAGAAGUGAAAGCCCGGGGCUCAACUCCGGAAUGGCUUUUGAGACUGGUAGGCUGGAGUUCGGGAGAGGGUAGUGGAAUUCCCAGUGUAGAGGUGAAAUUCGUAGAUAUUGGGAAGAACACCGGUGGCG
rnacentral:rRNA from 1 species